AAUUUAAAGUCUAGCCUGCCCUAUGAAAAAUUUUAAAUGGCCGCAGUAUUUUAACUGUGCAAAGGUAGCAUAAUCAUUAGUUUUUUAAUUGAAAGCUUGUAUGAAAGGUUGGACGAAAUAAUAACUGUCUAUAAUUAAGAUAAUUUAAUUUAAUUUUUAAGUUAAAAAGCUUAAAUAAAAUUAAAAGACGAGAAGACCCUAUAGAUCUUUAUUAAUAUUAUAUUUUAUUUUUUUAAAGAAAAAUUGUAUAUAAAAUUUAAUUUUAAUUAAAUUGGGGUAAUUUAAAGAUUUAAUAAAUUCUUUUAUUAAUAAACAUAAAUUAAUGAAUGUAAUAUCCAUUUUUAAUGAAUUAAGAUUAAGUUACCUUAGGGAUAACAGCGUAAUUUUUUUAGAGAGUUCAUAUCGAUAAAAGAGUUUGCGACCUCGAUGUUGGAUUAAAAGUAAUUUUAGGUGAAGAAGUUUAAAAUUUUAGUCUGUUCGACUAUUAAAUUUUU
rnacentral:rRNA from 1 species